GGCGACAUGGCCAAGUGGUAAGGCGGAAGUCUGCAAAACUUCUACUCCCCAGUUCGAAUCUGGGUGUCGCCU
rnacentral:tRNA from 1 species